UUCCCGCAGAGCACGUGAGGGGCCCACUUCCGGGUCCCCAGCGCGGGCGGCGCGCACACCUGGCGCAGCGUGCUGGCCGCGCCUCCUUCCACCUGCGGGUCCGCCACGGUGCGGCGGCCGGGCCUCACCCUCAGGGCCUCCAGUGACCCGGCAGAGGCCGGCGCGGCCCGGGCUGCCGGCCCCGGAAAGAGAGGAAAGGAGAGGGAUGAAGAGAGAGAAACAUCCAUGAGCAAAUGAAAAGAAACAAAACCUUAGGAGCUUAUUCCUUACCUGAGAAUCCUCUGCUAAGCUUCAGAUUGAGAUUUGUCCCUGCUCUGUGCCCUAAGAAUGAUCCAAAAGCAGUUCUCACUGUUCCAGGCCGGAUACAAUAUAUGUGAGUGAUUACAAGUGUGGGCCCGGUGCGGGGCGGGGGCCACUGGUAGGGGAAUGAGGAGACUUUAUUCCAACUCUGUCUCUAAUUAGCAGGGGUUUUUGGACACUGCUUUGAACUAACUCUGAGCCUCAGUUUCC